AGUGAACGCUGGCGGUAGGCCUAACACAUGCAAGUCGAACGGCAGCACAGUAAGAGCUUGCUCUUACGGGUGGCGAGUGGCGGACGGGUGAGGAAUACAUCGGAAUCUACUUUUUCGUGGGGGAUAACGUAGGGAAACUUACGCUAAUACCGCAUACGACCUACGGGUGAAAGCAGGGGAUCUUCGUACCUUGCGCGAUUGAAUGAGCCGAUGUCGGAUUAGCUAGUUGGCGGGGUAAAGGCCCACCAAGGCGACGAUCCGUAGCUGGUCUGAGAGGAUGAUCAGCCACACUGGAACUGAGACACGGUCCAGACUCCUACGGGAGGCAGCAGUGGGGAAUAUUGGACAAUGGGCGCAAGCCUGAUCCAGCCAUACCGCGUGGGUGAAGAAGGCCUUCGGGUUGUAAAGCCCUUUUGUUGGGAAAGAAAAGCAGCAGGUUAAUACCCCGCUGUUCUGACGGUACCCAAAGAAUAAGCACCGGCUAGCUUCGUG
rnacentral:rRNA from 1 species